rnacentral:sRNA from 1 species
AACCCCAUAGUGUCCCGCCUCUGCUGGAACAUUCAGUGUAGCCAUGGCUUUGAGCACCUCAGUGGCUGCCGCCAUAUCCCCUGCUUUGCUC